rnacentral:rRNA from 1 species
GACGAACGCUGGCGGCGUGCUUAACACAUGCAAGUCGAACGGAAAGGCCCUGCUUUUGUGGGGUGCUCGAGUGGCGAACGGGUGAGUAACACGUGAGUAACCUGCCCUUGACUUUGGGAUAACUUCAGGAAACUGGGGCUAAUACCGGAUAGGAGCUCCUGCUGCAUGGUGGGGGUUGGAAAGUUUCGGCGGUUGGGGAUGGACUCGCGGCUUGUCCGCUUGUUGGUGGGGUAGUGGCUUACCAAGGCUGUGACGGGUAGCCGGCCUGAGAGGGGGACCGGCCACAUUGGGACUGAGAGACGGCCCAGACUCCUACGGGAGGCAGCAGUGGGGAAUAUUGCACAAUGGGCGGAAGCCUGAUGCAGCAACGCCGCGUGCGGGAUGACGGCCUUCGGGUUGUAAACCGCUUUCGCCUGUGACGAAGCGUGAGUGACGGUAAUGGGUAAAGAAGCACCGGCUAACUACGUG